rnacentral:rRNA from 1 species
AACGAACGCUGGCGGCAUGCCUAACACAUGCAAGUCGAACGAAGGCUUCGGCCUUAGUGGCGCACGGGUGUGUAACGCGUGGGAACCUGCCUGGCAGUGGGGAAUAACCCUGGGAAACUGGGGCUAAUACCGCAUACGCCCUUUUGGGGAAAGAUUUAUCGCUGUCAGAUGGGCCCGCGUCGGAUUAGGUAGUUGGUGAGGUAACGGCUCACCAAGCCGACGAUCCGUAGCUGGUCUGAGAGGAUGACCAGCCACACUGGGACUGAGACACGGCCCAGACGCCUACGGGAGGCAGCAGUGGGGAAUAUUGGACAAUGGGGGAAACCCUGAUCCAGCAAUGCCGCGUGAGUGAUGAAGGCCUUCGGGUUGUAAAGCUCUUUCAGGUGGGACGAUGAUGACGGUGCCACCAGAAGAAGCCCCGGCUAACUUCGUGCCAGCCGCCGCGGUAA